CACAAGUUCCCCUCCUCUGUUCCUUCAACCAAGCGCCACCACCACCACCCCUUGUUUCUCCCCACAACAUGUUGAGGGUUGCUCGGUCGGUGAGCGGCACCAAGUUCCUGUCUCGGCGAGCGGCCACGCCCGGCCAUAAUCGUUGUGGUUGCUGCCUAGCACUAGAUGAGAUGCUGACACCAAGUCGCGGGACAACAGCGAAAAAUCCGCACACUAGGCGAGAUAUGGAUGGAGUAUGUUCCUGCAAGGGUGCUGACGGGUGUUUGUUUCGGAAGAUUCAGCACAAACUAGUACAAGCAAAGACCACGUAAUAUAUACAUCGGAAAAGGGAAAGGAAAAUAUAGAUGAGCGGAGCUGGAUGAUCUUAUAAAUAAACAAUAUAUGUUGAUGCCACAAAGAAUUUACUACUGCUUCCAUCAGUAUGUGUUUUUCCUGCUCUAUUGACAAAAGAUUUCUUGGAAAAGACUGGUUGAAUGGUUAUAGUAGUAAUCUUGGGCCCAAUACACAUUCUGCAGUGAGGAUGACACGGCAAAGAAGUCUAAGUCAGCUGAUCUAGAGAUGUAGUGCAACUUAUGUGUCAAUCACUUUUAUAUUUUAGUGAAGGAAAAUGGUUGGACCUUGGAUAGAUGACACGUCUGGUAUUGAUUCAACAGUGAUUGCUUGAUAUAGGCAAUGUAUUUGUUCCUGCAAAACAUCAUCUCUUGAAUGUUUUCUUAAUGUUGAAUUCCUCCACUAAUAAUGUAGUGUUGUUGUGGGUGCAUUCCGUUCCGAUGCGUUAUGCCGCCGAAAUUCUAGCCGAAAAUGUAUGAAGGUUGCAAAAACUUUUACAACAACAUAACAUAGCUGAAAACAAUAAGUUUAAUCACUAUGACCCUUCAUUAAGGUUUAUUAAAAGUCCUUCAGUAAUUUUAAAUGUCUAAAUGACACUUUUUUUGCGGGUGUAAAUUAUACUUGUUUUUAGGCAAUGCUUUCACAUUCCAGGAUUUUAUCUAGAUUCAUUACAACUGCAGUUGCCUUCUAACACAAGCUUGUUAAUGUUUCCUUUUUUUUCAUUUGUCAUCUUUUUUUGCGGUCAGAUAUGCGCAAGUAAUCGGACACUAGCUUGGCCUAUCUUGAUGGUACCAAACUGCACUCUAGAACACUAGCUAGCUCUAUUAGGUAUCUCUUUGGUGGUAUUAUUACAACAUUUUGUGUCGUCCCUUUGGCUUGUCUUUUUUUUAUCUUUGGUAUUGCUUAAUGAGCUUUCUUUUGUUGCUUUGACGAUGUGGUAGAAUGCCAUGAGAGGUAGUUGCUGUAUAUUGCACGAGGGAAGACGUUGAGCUUCUA